AGAGUUUGAACUUGGCUCAGAAUAAACGCUAUCUAGCAACUUGACACAUGCGAGUCGAAUGAAUUAGAUUCAUGGCGAACGGGUGAGUAAUGAAUAGGAAAACUACCUUUAAGACUGAAGGAAUUUCGGAUAUUGAAAUGGAUAAAUGAUUUGUCAUUUACUCCGCUUAAAGAUGUACCUAUUGAAUGGAUUAGAUAGUUGGUGAGGUAAUGGCUCACCAAGUCAAUGAUCUAUAGUUGGUCUGAGAGGAUGAUCAACCACAGUGGGAAUGAGAAAGGCCCACACGAGCAAAGUCUCGGCAGCAGUGCGGAAUAUUGGUCAAUGAUCGAAAGAUUGAACCAGUUAGCUAGAAGAGAGAACACACUUAGGUGAUAAAUCUCUAAAGAAAAAGAGGAUAAUGACUGUAUUUUUCUAUUAAUCCCGACUAAUCUCGUGCCAGCAGUCGCGGUAAUACGAGAGGGGUAAGCGUUAUUCAUAAUGAAUGGGUCUAAAGGGUAAGUAGGCGGUUUUAUAAGAUUGAAUGGUACCAAACCAAAAGAAUAAGAGCUAUUCGAUUACUAUAAAACUAGAAUGUAAUGGAAGAAAAAGGAACUCCAAGAGUAGGGAUGGAAUCUAUUGAUCCUUGGAAGACCACUAAAGGUGAAGACAUUUUUCUAAGUAUACAUUGACGCUGAGAUACGAAAGUAUGGGGAGCAAAACGGAUUAGAGACCCGUGUAGUCCAUACCGUAAACGAUGAGUGCCUUAAAUUGGUAAUAAGAUCAGUUUAUAAACGUAGGUUAAAGCACUCCACCUGGGGAGUAUUAUCGCAAGAUUGAAACCCAAAAGUAUAGAGGGUCUUGAAAACCAGCAGUGAAGUAUGUUGUUUAAUGUGAUGAUCCGCAAAUCAUCUUACCAUCUCUUGAAUACUCUCUUUCACCCUUUGUGUGAACCCUCUUCCUUCGGGGCGAGGGAUAGGAGAGAUACAGGCGUUGCAUGGCUGUCUUCAGUUCGUGUCGUGAGAUAUUAGGUUAAGUCCGCUAACGAACAAAACCCUUCUGAUUAAUUUAAACUUAAUCAGGUAUUUGACUAUAAGUCAGAAUAAUUAGGACUAAGACAAGCCCUCAUGGCCCUUAUGAGAUGGGCUACAGACGUGCCACAUGAAUCAGUACAAUGAGAUACAAUAGAGCAAUCUGGAGUUAAUCUUUAAAUCUGAUUUUGUAUGAAUUGAUGGCUGUAACUCGCCUUCAUGAAAUAGGAAUUGCUAGUAAUCGUAAAUCAUCACGUUACGGUGAAAGAAUAUCUUCAGGAUCUACUAACUGCCUGUCACAGGCUGGGAGUAAACUAUGCCCGAAGUUCUAUCAUGAUAACUAUGAACCUG
rnacentral:rRNA from 1 species